AUUGAACGCUGGCGGCAGGCCUAACACAUGCAAGUCGAGCGCGCGGCGGACGGGUGUGAAUAGUGUGGGAAACUGUGCCAGGGAGGGGGAUAACAACUGGAAAAGGUAGCUAAUAUCCCACAUCCCCAGCUGUGCCCCGAUGGGAUGAGCUAGUAGGUGGGGUAUUGGCGCACCUAGGCGACGAUCCCUAGCUGGUCUGAGAGGAUGACCAGCCACACUGGAACUGAGACACGGUCCAGACUCCGACGGGAGGCAGCAGUGGGGAAUAUUGCACAAUGGGCGCAAGCCUGAUGCAGCCAUGCCGCGUGUAUGAAGAAGGCCUUCGGGUUGUAAAGCACUUUCAGCGGGGAGGCGUUACCCGCAGAAGAAGCACCGGCUAACUCCGUGCCAGCAGCCGCGGUAAUAC
rnacentral:rRNA from 1 species